rnacentral:rRNA from 1 species
AGUGAACGCUGGCGGUAGGCCUAACACAUGCAAGCCGAACGGCAGCACAGGAGAGCUUGCUCUCUGGGUGGCGAGUGGCGGACGGGUGAGGAAUACAUCGGAAUCUACUCUGUCGUGGGGGAUAACGUAGGGAAACUUACGCUAAUACCGCAUACGACCUACGGGUGAAAGCAGGGGACCUUCGGGCCUUGCGCGAUUGAAUGAGCCGAUGUCGGAUUAGCUAGUUGGCGGGGUAAAGGCCCACCAAGGCGACGAGCCGUAGCUGGUCUGAGAGGAUGGUCAGCCACACUGGAACGGAGCCACGGUCCAGACUCCUACGGGAGGCAGCAGUGGGGAAUAUUGGACAAUGGGCGCAAGCCUGAUCCAGCCAUACCGCGUGGGUGAAGAAGGCCUUCGGGUUGUAAAGCCCUUUUGUUGGGAAAGAAAUCCAGCUGGCUAAUACCCGGUUGGGAUGACGGUACCCAAAGAAUAAGCACCGGCUAACUUCGUGCCAGCCGCCGCCGUAA